rnacentral:rRNA from 1 species
UUAAGCGACUAAGCGUACACGGUGGAUGCCCUGGCAGUCAGAGGCGAUGAAGGACGUGCUAAUCUGCGAAAAGCGUCGGUAAGGUGAUAUGAACCGUUAUAACCGGCGAUGUCCGAAUGGGGAAACCCAGUGCAAUUCGUUGCACUAUCGUUAACUGAAUACAUAGGUUAACGAGGCGAACCGGGGGAACUGAAACAUCUAAGUACCCCGAGGAAAAGAAAUCAACCGAGAUUCCCCCAGUAGCGGCGAGCGAACGGGGAGCAGCCCAGAGUCUGAAUCAGCUUGUGUGUUAGUGGAACGGUCUGGAAAGUCCGACGGUACAGGGUGAUAGUCCCGUACACCAAAAUGCACAGGCUGUGAACUCGAAGAGUAGGGCGGGACACGUGGUAUCCUGUCUGAAUAUGGGGGGACCAUCCUCCAAGGCUAAAUACUCCUGACUGACCGAUAGUGAACCAGUACCGUGAGGGAAAGGCGAAAAGAACCCCGGCGAGGGGAGUGAAAAAGAACCUGAAACCGUGUACGUACAAGCAGUGGGAGCACCUUCGGGUGUGACUGCGUACCUUUUGUAUAAUGGGUCAGCGACUUAUAUUCUGUAGCAAGGUUAACCGUAUAGGGGAGCCGCAGGGAAACCGAGUCUUAACUGGGCGUUAAGUUGCAGGGUAUAGACCCGAAACCCGGUGAUCUAGCCAUGGGCAGGUUGAAGGUUGGGUAACACUAACUGGAGGACCGAACCGACUAAUGUUGAAAAAUUAGCGGAUGACUUGUGGCUGGGGGUGAAAGGCCAAUCAAACCGGGAGAUAGCUGGUUCUCCCCGAAAGCUAUUUAGGUAGCGCCUCGUGAAUUCAUCUUCGGGGGUAGAGCACUGUUUCGGCUAGGGGGUCAUCCCGACUUACCAACCCGAUGCAAACUACGAAUACCGAAGAAUGUUAUCACGGGAGACACACGGCGGGUGCUAACGUCCGUCGUGAAGAGGGAAACAACCCAGACCGCCAGCUAAGGUCCCAAAGUCAUGGUUAAGUGGGAAACGAUGUGGGAAGGCACAGACAGCCAGGAUGUUGGCUUAGAAGCAGCCAUCAUUUAAAGAAAGCGUAAUAGCUCACUGGUCGAGUCGGCCUGCGCGGAAGAUGUAACGGGGCUAAACCAUGCACCGAAGCUGCGGCAGCGACACUAUGUGUUGUUGGGUAGGGGAGCGUUCUGUAAGCCUGCGAAGGUGACCUGUGAGGCAUGCUGGAGGUAUCAGAAGUGCGAAUGCUGACAUAAGUAACGAUAAAGCGGGUGAAAAGCCCGCUCGCCGGAAGACCAAGGGUUCCUGUCCAACGUUAAUCGGGGCAGGGUGAGUCGACCCCUAAGGCGAGGCCGAAAGGCGUAGUCGAUGGGAAACAGGUUAAUAUUCCUGUACUUGGUGUUACUGCGAAGGGGGGACGGAGAAGGCUAUGUUAGCCGGGCGACGGUUGUCCCGGUUUAAGCAUGUAGGCUGGUUGUCCAGGCAAAUCCGGAUAAUCAAGGCUGAGGUGUGAUGACGAGGCACUACGGUGCUGAAGUAACAAAUGCCCUGCUUCCAGGAAAAGCCUCUAAGCAUCAGGUAACAUCAAAUCGUACCCCAAACCGACACAGGUGGUCAGGUAGAGAAUACCAAGGCGCUUGAGAGAACUCGGGUGAAGGAACUAGGCAAAAUGGUGCCGUAACUUCGGGAGAAGGCACGCUGGUGUGUAGGUGAAGCCCCUGCGGGUGGAGCUGAGACCAGUCGAAGAUACCAGCUGGCUGCAACUGUUUAUUAAAAACACAGCACUGUGCAAACACGAAAGUGGACGUAUACGGUGUGACGCCUGCCCGGUGCCGGAAGGUUAAUUGAUGGGGUUAUCCGUAAGGAGAAGCUCUUGAUCGAAGCCCCGGUAAACGGCGGCCGUAACUAUAACGGUCCUAAGGUAGCGAAAUUCCUUGUCGGGUAAGUUCCGACCUGCACGAAUGGCGUAAUGAUGGCCAGGCUGUCUCCACCCGAGACUCAGUGAAAUUGAACUCGCUGUGAAGAUGCAGUGUACCCGCGGCAAGACGGAAAGACCCCGUGAACCUUUACUAUAGCUUGACACUGAACAUUGAGCCUUGAUGUGUAGGAUAGGUGGGAGGCUUUGAAGCGUGGACGCCAGUCUGCGUGGAGCCAACCUUGAAAUACCACCCUUUAAUGUUUGAUGUUCUAACGUUGGCCCCUUACCGGGGUUGCGGACAGUGUCUGGUGGGUAGUUUGACUGGGGCGGUCUCCUCCCAAAGCGUAACGGAGGAGCACGAAGGUUAGCUAAUCCUGGUCGGACAUCAGGAGGUUAGUGCAAUGGCAUAAGCUAGCUUGACUGCGAGCGUGACGGCGCGAGCAGGUGCGAAAGCAGGUCAUAGUGAUCCGGUGGUUCUGAAUGGAAGGGCCAUCGCUCAACGGAUAAAAGGUACUCCGGGGAUAACAGGCUGAUACCGCCCAAGAGUUCAUAUCGACGGCGGUGUUUGGCACCUCGAUGUCGGCUCAUCACAUCCUGGGGCUGAAGUAGGUCCCAAGGGUAUGGCUGUUCGCCAUUUAAAGUGGUACGCGAGCUGGGUUUAGAACGUCGUGAGACAGUUCGGUCCCUAUCUGCCGUGGGCGCUGGAGAAUUGAGGGGGGCUGCUCCUAGUACGAGAGGACCGGAGUGGACGCAUCACUGGUGUUCGGGUUGUCAUGCCAAUGGCACUGCCCGGUAGCUAAAUGCGGAAGAGAUAAGUGCUGAAAGCAUCUAAGCACGAAACUUGCCCCGAGAUGAGUUCUCCCUGAGACUAUAAGUCUCCUGAAGGAACGUUAAAGACGAUGACGUUGAUAGGCCGGGUGUGUAAGCGCAGCGAUGCGUUGAGCUAACCGGUACUAAUGAACCGUGAGGCUUAACCUU